UGUCUGAUCUGUGGAAAGAGAAUCUGUUGGAUGAGCUGCUCAAUGUGGUGGAGUCAGUUAGCCAUGUGAAGGACACAGAACUGCUUCUGAGGCCCCUCACUUAACCCCAGAUCUUGAGCCCCACCACAGUCCGACUUCACCAGCCUUUCCCAGGAGCUGGAGCAUGUGCGGUGACAGCAGCAGCAGCAGAACUCAGUCUGUGUAGCUCUGGCCAGAGAAUCCCCAUCCAAUGCCAAACAAACAAAGCCUCAGGUGGUUCACACCGAGCACAACUUGUCAGAGCAGCCCUGCCAGGUCCCAAACCACAGGAGGAACAAAGGCAAAGAGAGGGCAAGGUUGUCCUGUUUCAAAUGCAUGGGGCAAGAAAAGAGGAAAAACACUCUGUCAUGAUGGCUUACAUUUAGAAAAUACUGAAAGAGCCAUCACGGACACUCACAAGGUUUAAGAAUUCCAAAACAGCACUAAAACAUGAAAUUGAAUGUAAACCAAUGAUAUAAAAUAGACUUUUACAGCAAUUUAUGACAUAUGAUAAUUGUAUAUAUUCUAAAAUGAAUAUUUAUGUCCCAUUAGUAUUCUAAAAGUAACCGUUUUGAACAUCAUCCUUCUUGAAGUCUGUUGUGAUGUUUGCAUUAAUAAUGUGUUUAUCUAUCCUUUUAUUCUCCAAAAGGAGUGUGUCUCUGUGUCAGUUACCAUAGGAGUCCAAAACCUCCAAAAGACAAUUUUCACUCUUCUGCCACAGUCUGCCCAUGAUCCUAGGUUUUGAGACCUUUGCCACAGAUCGUGCUGGGAGAACAGACAUAUUGGACGCCUGGUUUGAUGAGGUCUUUCUCCCUCUGGAAAAUGUCCAGAGUGUAGGCUCUUUCCCUGAUGGUCUGGAGGAGAACCAGCUUCCACAGGACGAGAUCCAGGAUCUGAACAGACUGGUUUUGGAUGAAGGUAUCAAUGCAGCUGAUUUAGACCACGAAGUGGCCAAGCUGACCCAAACUUUGACUGAAUGUAGAAACCACAGUGCCUUCGACAGGUGUCGUCGUGGAGCACUUUCAUCAAACUUGGCCGUCUUAACCAGGCCCUUGAAGAUCUCGAUGCUGCCAUCUCCCUGGAGCCUCAUUUACUGGAUGCCUACUGGCACAGACACUGCAUCUACCUGCUGAGAAAUGACCCUGAUAGAGCUCUGGACGAUCUAAACGUCAUCGUCAAGAACAACAAGAAGCAUGCAGGUGUGUGCAUGAGUCCACUUACAUAACCAGACAGCAGGGAGACAAGACAUUGAUGCAAUGCUAGUGUAUGCUAUCUGACCUCUGUAUUGGAC
rnacentral:lncRNA from 1 species